GUUUGAAGAUGGGUACAAUGAUGAUCUUACAGCUCUUGAUGAGAAAGCUCUCCUGCAACAAUGCUAUACAAGCAAGCCCUACAAUACACAACACAGUAUGAGGAAAUCAGAAGCUGAGGAUGUUGCUGCGGAGAGAAAGAAACAGGCUGUAGUAGAACAAGUGAUGCUAGAUCAGUUAUGCAGCCUGUUAUUAAUAUUCUUCUAUUAAUAUCUCUCUGAAGUUGAAGGGUAAGUUUAUGUUGGAUAUCAGGAAAAAAUUCUUUACAGAAAGGGUUGUUGAGCACUGGAAUGGGCUCCCCAGGGA
rnacentral:lncRNA from 1 species